CGGCCCUCGCGGGGGUGCAUUGUAGUUGCAUUGCAUGUGUCAGACUGGGAGUGCAAUGCCCCUGCCAUGCAGCCCGGCGGGGGUCCC
ensembl:miRNA microRNA 33b